GAACUGUGAUACUAUGAUCACUCUUAUAACAUAAUAAUAAUACUAAUAUUAAUAUUAGUAUCUCACAUCACACAGAAUACACAACAAUAUAUUCUAAACAUUCGGUCUAACAUAAAUCUUUAUAGUGUGAAUAACCAAGAAAAAAAAUCAUGUAAUGAGUCUGGUUUAUUCAUUCUAACUUUAAAUGAUACUUUCACUUUAAAAAUGUUUUGUGUUAAUCAAAACAAACUCACUGCAACUAGAUUUUUGUAACAAUAAUACGUGUGUAGUAUAACCUAGAUCAGUCGAAUCAUUAAAACAAUUGAGCACUGAGAGAAAGUACCAAACAAGUUACUCAUGAAGAUACUUACAUCACCACCAACCAUGACUUUAACAUGAGAUUAACU
rnacentral:lncRNA from 1 species